UACGGGAGGCAGCAGUGGGGAAUAUUGCACAAUGGGCGCAAGCCUGAUGCAGCCAUGCCGCGUGUAUGAAAAAGGCCUUCGGGUUGUAAAGUACUUUCAGUCGUGAGGAAGGUGUUAAGGUUAAUAACCUUAGCAAUUGACGUUAGCGACAGAAGAAGCACCGGCUAACUCCGUGCCAGCAGCCGCGGUAAUACGGAGGGUGCGAGCGUUAAUCGGAAUUACUGGGCGUAAAGGGCACGCAGGCGGUUAAUUAAGUUGGAUGUGAAAUCCCCGGGCUUAACCUGGGAAUGGCAUUCAAGACUGGUUAGCUAGAGUCUUGUAGAGGGGGUAGAAUUCCAUGUGUAGCGGUGAAAUGCGUAGAGAUGUGGAGGAAUACCGGUGACGAAGGCGGCCCCUGGACAAAGACUGACGCUCAUGUGCGAAAGCGUGGGGAGCAAACAGGGAUUAGAUACCCGU
rnacentral:rRNA from 1 species